rnacentral:rRNA from 1 species
UGGGGAAUAUUGGACAAUGGGCGAAAGCCUGAUCCAGCCAUGCCGCGUGUGUGAAGAAGGUCUUCGGAUUGUAAAGCACUUUAAGUUGGGAGGAAGGGUUGUAACCUAAUACGUUGCAACUUUGACGUUACCGACAGAAUAAGCACCGGCUAACUUCGUGCCAGCAGCCGCGGUAAUACGAAGGGUGCAAGCGUUAAUCGGAAUUACUGGGCGUAAAGCGCGCGUAGGUGGUUUGAUAAGUUGGAUGUGAAAGCCCCGGGCUCAACCUGGGAAUUGCAUCCAAAACUGUCUGACUAGAGUACGGUAGAGGGUAGUGGAAUUUCCUGUGUAGCGGUGAAAUGCGUAGAUAUAGGAAGGAACACCAGUGGCGAAGGCGACUACCUGGACUGAUACUGACACUGAGGUGCGAAAGCGUGGGGAGCAAACAGG